rnacentral:rRNA from 1 species
GAUGAACGCUGGCGGCGUGCCUAAUACAUGCAAGUCGAGCGAACAGACGAGGAGCUUGCUCCUCUGACGUUAGCGGCGGACGGGUGAGUAACACGUGGAUAACCUACCUAUAAGACUGGGAUAACUUCGGGAAACCGGAGCUAAUACCGGAUAAUAUAUUGAACCGCAUGGUUCAAUAGUGAAAGACGGUUUUGCUGUCACUUAUAGAUGGAUCCGCGCCGCAUUAGCUAGUUGGUAAGGUAACGGCUUACCAAGGCGACGAUGCGUAGCCGACCUGAGAGGGUGAUAGGCCACACGGGAACUGAGACACGGUCCAGACUCCUACGGGAGGCAGCAGUAGGGAAUCUUCCGCAAUGGGCGAAAGCCUGACGGAGCAACGCCGCGUGAGUGAUGAAGGUCUUCGGAGCGUAAAACUCUGUUAUGAGGGAAGAACAAAUGUGUAAGUAACUAUGCACGUCUUGACGGUACCUAAUCAGAAAGCCACGGCUAACUACGUG